rnacentral:rRNA from 1 species
GUGCCGCCGCCGCGGUAAUACGGAGGGUCCAAGCGUUGUCCGGAAUCACUGGGCGUAAAGGGUGUGCAGGUGGGGCAGCAAGUCAGGGGUGAAAGCCCGCGGCUUAACCGCGGAAGUGCCCUUGAAACUGUUGCUCUUGAGUCCCGGAGAGGCUGCCGGAAUUCGUGGUGUAGCGGUGAAAUGCGUAGAUAUCACGAGGAACACCAGAGGCGAAAGCGGGCAGCUGGACGGGUACUGACACUGAGGCACGAAAGCGUGGGGAGCAAACAGGAUUAGAUACCCGAGUAGUCC